GGUUCGAUACAUGCCCUUAAUAAUUUUUUAAAGCUAUUCCCUGACAAGGUUGGUCAUUACAGCGCUUGAAAACCCACCGCCCUUUUUUUCUUUCUUUUCAUCUGUGCAAAACCCAGGCAAACAGAUUUUUUGUGGUGUUUCUGCCGGCCAACGUCGGGCGUCGGCAACUGCUGGCAGUGGUUAAAUCCUGUUGAAGACGACGUAUUGGCGGGGUCCAACUUCAACAGCGGCGGCAAAAUAUGAACAUACUAGACCAACGGUGCCGGUUUCUCUGGUGAGAGAUCCGGAAGUUUUAGGGUUCCGACAAGGUCCGGUUAACUCCGGUGAUAACCAGGUACGCAUGUAUCCUUUUUAGUUAAAUCAGGUCUUCCAUGUUUUUACAUCUAUCAGGUUAGGCUUUUGGGUGUAGUUUGGGACUUCAAACUAAGAUUAGGGUUUAUGGAAACCUACAUGGCAGCGUAAGUGGAACACCGAAUUGAGGCACAAGUUCUGUAUGUUUUGUUACAGCGAGGUUACGUGUUAUUAAAAAAUAACUAACAAUUUUCAUUGUAGCUUGAUUUUGGGGUUUUAUAACCUACAUUGCACCAUUUGAACCUUUGAUGGGUUUUUGCAGAUUUAGAUACGGGCUCAGCAUAGUGGUUUGUUGAAUUGGUGCAUGUGUGAAGAAUUGAUGUUACUCUGUCCAGUUUGCAAGGGUUUUUCUAGGGCAAUGAAUUAGGCACUUUUGUACAGGUUUUAAAGGAAUGGAACGCGUUUGCUUGGUGGGAUGACCUUAAUUAUUAUAGCUCGGCAUAAAUUUGAGUUAAGGUAAUCUCUUAAACGACGACUUUGUUUGGAGAGUUUUACAUUGAUGUUAAAAGUUUACAUGUUAUGAUAGAAAAGAUGCUAUUGGAGAUGGUAGCAAUGUAGCAUGCGUGGGUGUGUGUGCCUUAUAAUAGCCCACGCAUCUCCCAGCUCCACCAACCAUCCCCUCGAUUCGUCGGAACUGUAUGGUACUCAAUUUUGGUAGGGGUUUGAUAUUUGGGGUUUCAUUUCAACAAAUUGUAGUGUUUUUGAUGGUAGGUAUACUGAAUUUAUUGUUGUGUCUAGGUCAUAAACUUGAAUGUGAUUGACUAGCUAUUAGAUUUCAUUGCUGAUAUGCUAUUCAGUGUAUAAUACAGUAAUUUACAGCUUAUAGCAUUAAAUGGUACAAUAAAAUGGUACAACAAAUAGAGUAAUUUAACGUCUUUUUUUCCCUACAAUUUGAGUAAUAUAAUUAUUUGUUAUUAAUUAAUAAUUUAAACGCAUUUUAGUUUGAUUUCUUUGUGAAAAGUUCAAAUUCAAAACAGUUAGUCCAGUGGACCAGGCCAAUUGGGAGCUAGGGGAGUGGAAUUAUUUUAGGGAUUACCUCUGAACAAUCAAAAGCGUAAAACUGUGAAUACCUGCUGGUUCAAACGAUGUUCCAGCUAUGAUCUAAUGGAAAACCAUCCUUUCCGUCUUAAGGGCUACUAGCUUUGACUUUUAAAGUCAAAAGUAUGUUCCUGCUAUGAUCUAAUACAUUUAUGGUUAUUAGAACUGGCCUAAAGAUGAGAACAAUUUUUUAUUUAACAAACUGACAAAUUGUUCAAGUUCAAUGGUUUGAACAAUAAAUAAUUUAGGGUUUAGUUUCAUUUCAUCUAGCAUCUGACUAUUAGAAGUUUAAAGGCAGGUGGCGUUGAUAGAUUGGUGAAGCAAAAAUGAUAAAGAUGAUUUGGUAAAGCAGUUCAGUUUGAUUGAAUUAGGGAAGAGGGAAGUUUUGACUCAUUUACUUUUGAGUUAGAUUCAGGUUUACUAACAUGAUCUAGAAAAUAUAAAAAUUGGUCUUGAAACAACUUAUCAGAAGAUGAGAAGAACUAUUUUUAUUUAACAAACUUGACAAAUUGUUCAAAUUCAAUGUUUUAGGUGGACAAAAGGGACGUCUUCAUCAACUCAUGCUUGAAACUGGAACACAUCCUGGACUGCCAGUUAACUACAUUUUCGCGUAUGUAAACAGCGUAAUGAACUAGCAUAGACAAACUUGUAGCUAAAGGUAAAUUAUAUGCUACUGAACAUAGGCUUGCCUAUAUGUCCCAAGUUUUGUUCAUUGCGUUUAUAAACAACGCCGCAACGGAUUAAUGAUAGCAUAUUAUUAAC
rnacentral:lncRNA from 1 species